UACAGAGGGUGCGAGCGUUUAAUCGGAAUUACUGGGCGUAAAGCGCGCGUAGGCGGCUUUGCAAGUCGGGUGUGAAAUCCCCAAGCUUAACUUGGGAACUGCAUUCGAGACUGCAUUGCUAGAGUAUGGGAGAGGGAAGUGGAAUUCCGGUGUAGUGGUGAAAUGCGCAGAUAUCGGGAGGAACACCAAUGGCGAAGGCAGCUCGCUGGGACGGUACUGACGCUGAGACGCGAAAGCGUGGGGAGCGAACAGG
rnacentral:rRNA from 1 species